CAAAGAGUCAAGGAAACAUCAGCAAAUAGCUGGAAAGAAGAGGCAGUGUUUGUUGCUGUUAGCUGCUUGCAAUAUUUGCUUCUUGUGCCAGGGAUCCUCCUGAAGUGGUACUUUAACUACUCAAGUUGCCUUUUCCACUGUGAUAGUCAGCAGAUGAAGCUCUUCACAUUUAAGCGUAAUGGUGCCAGAGAGACCGACUGCAUCUCAGAGUUAUGACCUAUAAAUGUCGCUCCUAUGUCAGAGGGAGACUGAGCCAAGUUGCUGAAGUCUGCAGAGGGUUUCCUUGACAAUUCACACAAGCCAUUAAAGUUACUAUUCUCCCUCCUCCCACC
rnacentral:lncRNA from 11 species